CAUCGCCUGUUUAUCAAAACAUCGCCUGUUUAUCAAGAACAUCGCCUGUUUAUCAAGAACACCUCCAGUUGAUCGCAAACAUCAAUGGUUUAUCAAGGGGCUAGCCUGUUCUUUUGUAUCUUUUGAACUUUACUUUAAAGUGACAAGGUUUAAAUAUUCUUGGGGGACGAUUAGACCCUAUAAAACUUUACAGUUUAAUUUAUAUUUUUUGAAGUGAAGUAUGAUAUUAAUUAUAAACAUUCUGUUAUGUUGGGGCGACAAAGAUAUAAUAAGUAACUGUUAAAUAUAUAAGAUAAUUAUAAUUAGAUAAUUGAUCCUUUAUUAAAGAUUAAAAGAUUAAGUUACUUUAGGGAUAACAGCGUAAUUUUCUCUGAGAGUUCUUAUCGACGAGAGUAGUUGCGACCUCGAUGUUGAAUUAAGAUUUCUUUUAAAUGUAGCAGUUUAAUGAGUGGGUCUGUUCGACCUUUAAAAUCUUACGUGAUCUGAGUUCAGACCGGAC
rnacentral:rRNA from 1 species